UCUCGGGUGACGAGUGGCGGACGGGUGAGUAAUGUCUGGGAAACUGCCUGAUGGAGGGGGAUAACUACUGGAAACGGUAGCUAAUACCGCAUAACGUCGCAAGACCAAAGAGGGGGACCUUCGGGCCUCUUGCCAUCAGAUGUGCCCAGAUGGGAUUAGCUAGUAGGUGGGGUAACGGCUCACCUAGGCGACGAUCCCUAGCUGGUCUGAGAGGAUGACCAGCCACACUGGAACUGAGACACGGUCCAGACUCCUACGGGAGGCAGCAGUGGGGAAUAUUGCACAAUGGGCGCAAGCCUGAUGCAGCCAUGCCGCGUGUGUGAAGAAGGCCUUCGGGUUGUAAAGCACUUUCAGCGGGGAGGAAGGGAGUAAGGUUAAUAACCUUGCUCAUUGACGUUACCCGCAGAAGAAGCACCGGCUAACUCCGUGCCAGCAGCCGCGGUAAUACGGAGGGUGCAAGCGUUAAUCGGAAUUACUGGGCGUAAAGCGCACGCAGGCGGUCUGUCAAGUCGGAUGUGAAAUCCCCGGGCUCAACCUGGGAACUGCAUCCGAAACUGGCAGGCUUGAGUCUCGUAGAGGGAGGUAGAAUUCCAGGUGUAGCGGUGAAAUGCGUAGAGAUCUGGAGGAAUACCGGUGGCGAAGGCGGCCUCCUGGACGAAGACUGACGCUCAGGUGCGAAAGCGUGGGGAG
rnacentral:rRNA from 1 species